GCAGUCGUGGCCAAGUGGUUAAAAGGCGAUGGACUAGAAAUCCACUGGAGUCUCCCCGUACAGGUUCGAAUCCUGUCGACUGCG
rnacentral:tRNA from 2 species